GUGGGGAAUAUUGGACAAUGGGCGAAAGCCUGAUCCAGCAAUGCCGCGUGAGUGAUGAAGGCCUUAGGGUUGUAAAGCUCUUUUACCCGGGAUGAUAAUGACAGUACCGGGAGAAUAAGCCCCGGCUAACUCCGUGCCAGCAGCCGCGGUAAUACGAAGGGGGCUAGCGUUGCUCGGAAUUACUGGGCGUAAAGCGCACGUAGGCGGACCGAUAAGUCGGGGGUGAAAUCCUGGAGCUCAACUCCAGAACUGCCUUCGAAACUGCCGGUCUUGAGUUCGGGAGAGGUGAGUGGAACUGCGAGUGUAGAGGUGAAAUUCGUAGAUAUUCGCAAGAACACCAGUGGCGAAGGCGGCUCACUGGCCCGAUACUGACGCUGAGGUGCGAAAGCGUGGGGAGCAAA
rnacentral:rRNA from 1 species